rnacentral:lncRNA from 1 species
UGGAGCUCUUUCCCUGAACAUUUAUCCUGCGAUGUACAAAUUAUAUCCGCUGGUUCCUCUGAUUUUUCAGUUGCCACUGAAUUAGUAGAUUUUUUUAGUCCUUUAGCAUCUGGUUUCCUAGCAGAUUUUUUAGUUCUGGAACCAGGUUGCUUUUCUUCAGAGACUGAAUCCUGAUUUUCUUUGCCUGAAUCAGCUUCUGUCAUUUCCCUGUCAUUUGCAUUCAAGGAGACACCUUCUGCUUUCUGGCUUUUUCCUUCUGGCUGUUCAUCUUUAUGGGCACUAUCACCGUUCCCCACUGCAUCCACACUGCAAAUGUCUUGCUUGUUUUAGAUUUACGAUAUAAUAACCAAUAUCUUCAAAAUACUGAGAUAUUCAAAUAAACGUUAAACCUUUUUGAUUCAGCUGAAUCCUUCUUGUUGUCUAGUGGAUCUUCGAGAACAAAACAAUGUCUUGUGGCAAGCAGCAAUCCAGAAUUGCUUUUCAGAGAGUUUAUGGAAGCCCGGGCUGAAGCAGUAGCAACGUCAGAUCCCGCCAAAACAUAUAUAUACAUAUAUAUAUAUAUACCUGAGUUUCAAAACUAAAAUCAAGAAGAAUAUUUGCAGCUUUGAUAUCUCUAUGGAUGAUUCGAGGAUGACCUACCAUCGAGAUAAAUAUAUACAAUGUUUAGUUUCUUAAAGAGAGCGAGGUAGAAACUAUAUCAUUCUCUUACAGUCUUCAUGCAAAUAUGCAAGGCCUCUAGCUGAUCCCAAUGCAAUCUUCACUCGUACAUGCCAAUCCAAUACUGGACGACCUUUUCCUGAAGUUUCAAUCAUGUUAUUGAUAAAAGAGACAUCAUACAUAAAAAGUGAUGAUUCAAGCAAAAUAUUAUGUAAGAAUAAUGUUACCAUGAAGAUGGAAUUCAAGAGUGUUAUUAGGUAAAAACUCGUAAACCAAUAGCCUUUGACCACCAGAGAUGCAAUAUCCAACUAGAGAUACAAGAUGACGAUGAUGGACACGGCUAAUGAUCUCAACCUCUGCUUGAAACUCGCGUUCUCCUUGUCCACUUCCAAGUUUAAGACUCUUCACUGCAACUUCUUUGCCACUGGGCAAAACUCCUUUAUGAACAUACCCAAAUCCUCCUUGUCCUAGCAGAUUAGACUGAGAGAAACCUUCUGUUGCAAUGGACAGUUCAUCGUAGGUGAAAGUGCUUUGGUUGUGACCAAGAGUCGCAGCUGGAGGCGACGGUGCGGUUGGACCGGCUAAGUUAGAGCUGUCGCUAUGAUCCAUGUUCACUACAUGGUCUUGAGGUGUUCCAUUGUUGUAAUAGCCACCAUUACCUACAUAUGCAACAACAACUCCAUUAGCUUCUUAAGUAUAAUCCUUUUGCACAUACCAAGUUCGAGAUGAAACUAUGUGUGAAUAUAAGCUCACAUUUCGAGAGUUUCAAUGGGACAUAAAAAAAUAUAUACAACGGAGUUUUAAGUUGGAAGCCCAUGAAACUUAACAAACGAGAAUAAACCACUAGACUAUAAAGGCUUAAACAUUUGAUUACCAUUGGGAGCUCCAAAGGGAGUGUUGUUGUUGUAGUAAUGCAUGUGGUUGACUUGAGGAGCACGUUUCUCCUUCUUCUUCUUGUAGCAACAGAUGCAAAUAAACAUUAGAAGCAGAAGCAGUAACCCUGCUCCUACAAUGACUCCAAUAAUCAGUCCAAGGUUGGCUUGGUGCGGUUGUUCCCCUGGUGGUGAUGACGUGUCUGAAUCUCCACUAUUCCGGGGAGGGCUUAUAGACCGAGGCGGUGAAGGUGAGCCACCGUCACUGGACCUUCUGUUUCCAGACGGUGGAGACGGUGUGGAACCUUCUCUGUUGUUACUGUUGAUUCUGUUACGGUCAUCAUUUUCAGAAGUUCCAGACGGUGUGGAACCUUCUCUGUUGUUACUGUUGAUUCUGUUACGGUCAUCAUUUGCAACAGGAGAAGGAGGAGAUGGUCUUUGUGGAGGAGGUGAUUGCUUGGACGGUGCUUGAGGAGGUGCAGGUGGCGUUACAGGAGAUGAGAUUUGAGGAGAAGGUGGAGAAGGAUUCUCUUGAGGUUUAGCUGGUGGAUUAGGUACAGCUGGAGGAGAUGUUGGCAAUGAUGGAGGAGGGGAGGUUUCCUGCGUCGGUGGUGCAGGCGGCGGUGAAGAAGCUGUUGGCGUUGGAGGAGGAGCAGAAUCAGGAGACGGUGGAGAUGAAGCAGGUGAUGUUAACGGCGAUGUGCCAUUUGACAGAGAACCUGCAUUAGGGGUUUCCGGGGCAGGAGGUGAAUUCUCCGGAGAGUCUGCCAUGAUGAAGUCUUUGUUCUUUGGUGAAAGGUUUCUCAACGGUGGAGAAACCUUCUCCCCGGUGAUCCUUGACUCAUCAGCCUUGCGUUACAAGCAAAAACAAUCGAAACUUAGAACUUGGAGAUAUUCAGAAGACUUGGUGAAGAGAAGAGAGAAGAUUGUUGGAAAGAGAGGAAUCCUGAUGGUUUCUCUUUUUGGGUUUGGAGAAAUGGCUUCGAAGGAGGAGAAGAGAUUAAGGAACUAUAAUUAGAAGCAAAGGCUCUCUAUCUUUCUCUCUACCAUCUAUGAUCUAUAUUUGUUCUUUCUAGCCGUUUGAAGUUUGAUGAAACGAACCGGUCUAGAAGGCCAACCAGUUUGAGAUUAGAGAUGAUUUGAAUACUAAUUAACCGAAUAGACAAAAUUUAAUCAAAACCGAACCAGAAAGUACGGUUAGCUCAUUGGCGGGAGUUUGCAAACAGUAGACGAGAGAGACCGUGUUUAACCAAGAGAGGCUCCAACUUGGUUACACUAAGUAUCUUAUUAUCAGAAAGUCUUUACCAACCAUGAUCCAUAAAACAUUCCCACCUUCUGCGGAUUCAUAAUCAUACAUCUCUGCUCAACGUUACAACUCUUUAAAGUUCAAAGAACACAUAAAUAAAGUAUCAUUCACAUAUCUCCAAACUUCCAUUGACAGUUACAUUUAGCAUUAAUCGAUGGGUCUAAAACCCCUAACGAACUUUGUCUUCUACAUAAAUCUCCAGAAAAUAAACCAAGCUCCGCGAAAGGUGGGAUGAUGUACCUGGGCUUUACUAAUAGAACAUCAAGAGCUACCACUCAAUCUGAACAUUAUGAUGUAGCACCACUAAACCGAAGAAACAUUGUCUGAACCUUGAGGUGGACCUGAGCUUCCGCUCAUUGCUGUUGCAGCUACAUGUGAGCCAGGAACAGAGAAUGGUGAUGCACCUGGAGGCCUUGGCAUUGGUGGCCGUGGAAAUGACAUACCCAUGGGAGGUCUUUGAGCCACAUUAGCAAGAUUUGCAGCGGUUCUGUUUGUUGGUAAUGAUGCCUUUGAGGACAUUGAAGGUGGGGCACCGAGUCUAGUUGCUAUGAUCUGCGCUCUUUCGUGGUAUAGCCUUUGCCUUGACCUCUCCAAUUGCUCUUUUACCCUCACUGUCAAGCUUUCAGCGUCGUUGAAUAUUGAUAGUUUUGCUUCUAGUUUACGUAACUGCUUAGACGUAAAAAAACCCCCUCAUUACCAUGUUUAAACUCUGAACAAUACUACACCAAAACAGAAUCAAAGCUGCAUACACUUAAACCAUUUUUUUACCUGCUUCUCUAUCAAUGAUCCAGAAAGUUGUCGGAUAUGAUCUUCUUCUUGCUUUGCAAGAUGCUUUGCCUUUACUGCUGCAGCUGAGAGAGCAGAGAUAGCUGCGCGCUUAAGCUUAUCAGUGUUAUGUUUGUCUUUUGUCUCUUCAGAGACAUCCUUCUCUUUCUUUGUAUUUUCACCUGCAAACAAUGUUUAAACAACAAACCAAUAAGAUAUAAAAGAAUCAUGCAAUGCAGGUCCAGUUUCAAAUCUGUCCAAGAGAUAGAGACAACCAUCUGGUCCAUUUUCCGGUACAGAAGGUGAUGCAAUGGCCUGCUGUGCAACAGACGUGUCUGGCAUACUAAGAACAUCCUUUGCAUUCUUCUUAGCCUGUUCAAUCUCCUCUCCUACUGUUUUGACCAUAUCUUGAGGAUCCUUCUGUGACUGUGACAUAUCCUUCAUCUCCACAUCUUUUGAUGCCUCUGGCUGAGAAGCAUCUGGAGCUAACUGGGAGACAGUUGCUUGAGAGGCGUCUUUAUUUUCACUAGAAAGCUUAUUCCCAUCCUUCAAAGGUUCUUGGAGCUCUUUCCUUGAACAUUUAUCCUGCGCAAAUUAUAUCCGCUGGUUCCUCUGAUUUUUCAGUUGCCACUGAAUUAGUAGAUUUUUUUAGUCCUUUAGCAUCUGGUUUCCUAGCAGAUUUUUUAGUUCUGGAACCAGGUUGCUUUUCUUCAGAGACUGAAUCCUGAUUUUCUUUGCCUGAAUCAGCUUCUGUCAUUUCCCUGUCAUUUGCAUUCAAGGAGACACCUUCUGCUUUCUGGCUUUUUUCUUCUGGCUGUUCAUCUUUAUGGGCACUAUCACCGUUCC